rnacentral:siRNA from 1 species
CAUUCGUAUUUCAUAGUCAGAGG